rnacentral:rRNA from 1 species
AUACGUAGGUGACAAGCGUUAUCCGGAUUUACUGGGCGUAAAGGGCGUGUAGGCGGUCUUGCAAGUCAGAAGUGAAAUUCCUGAGCUCAACUCGGGCGCUGCUUCUGAAACUGCAGGACUUGAGUGCUGGAGGGGAUAGCGGAAUUCCUAGUGGAGCGGUAAAAUGCGCAGAUAUUAGGAAGAACACCGGUGGCGAAGGCGGCUAUCUGGACAGUAACUGGCGCUGAGGCGCGAAAGCGUGGGGAGCAAACAGGAUUAGAUACCCUGGUAGUCCACGCCGUAAACGAUGAUUACUAGGUGUAGGGGGUAUCGACUCCCUCUGUGCCGCAGUUAACACAAUAAGUAUUCCGCCUGGGGAGUACGGCCGCAAGGUUGAAACUCAAAUGAAUUGGCGGGG